AUUUAUCUUGUUAAGAAAAUUAGCGCAAAAGAGCGGAGGGAGAGUAGUCUGAAUUGGGUUCUAGUAUCAUGUACUAGCUUACACAUUGAACUCAUUCGCCAGCCGCGAGUGUUUCCAAGUCAGCGGGGAUCGCAUCAGUUGAACCGCUGAAACUGCGCGGAUAUCAACGUCUCGUGCGAGAAUUCCGCGCUAUGACCCACGUUUCUGUGCGCUCGCUCAUCUGUUCAGAUGAUGUCCUGUGAGGACAGCGAUUGGCUCUUGUCUCAGACCUUCCCCGAGGUAAUUGGACGAGUGACGAGCACUCUGCACGUGACCUCUACAGUAAGCUUCCUACCGCUCCGGUUAAUGACGUAGACUGUGGAUCCUUAUGAAGCCUCGUAACUGAGCGACUCUUUACAAUGACGAUGUAAGAUCUGGGUAUUGAAACUUAAAGCCAGACUCAAGAGUUUUCUUAGGUACCACUUUCUGGCCUUGUGUGAGGAUGACAGCUCUUUCAGAACCAAGGAAGACAUCCAAGAAAAAGCCAGGCACAGGGAAGAUACUCCUCUUUGGGCUCCAAAGCAUGGGCGAUGAUGCUAGCAAGGUCUGACAGAUGGAUCCAAGGGAAGGGCUGUCGUCCUGAGCCAAGCGUCCCACCCAGGCCAAGCCAGAAGGGAAUCAACAUCUGUUUCAUGGCUCCACCGUCACGCCCUAACACUGCACCUGAGGGUGAGUGGAAGAAAGUACAUAAUUACACUACUAAGGUUUGGCAGAUUUAUUUCUGUUUUUGAUUCUCUUAUGCUCACAAAGGCUGCAUUUAUUUGUCAAAAAAUACAGUAAAAACAGUAAGAUUAAAAACAUUUUUUACUUUUUUUUUCUAUUUUAACAAAUUUUAAAAUGUAAUUUAAUACAUUUUGUUUCGUUACAUUGCUAGCACUCUGGUGAGACAUUUGUUCAGAUUCACCUGGUCUGAUGAUCACUUGUCUUGUUUUCUUAGCACUGUUUUCAGGUAGCUGCCCUGCCGCCUCCCACUCUUUCACCAAACGAGACAGGAAGUCAAAUGGUGUCCAUUCGCUCUCCUCAGUGUACUGGGUUUGAAGACUAGGUUUAUAACACGCUGAAGACAAAAUCAGAGACAGCUGCAUGUAAAGGCUGCCUUAGGAAUUACAUUAUAAUAAUAACUGUAGACAGAAAACAUUAUUUUGUAUAAUUGACUUUUCUACAUUAACUGAUCAAAUCAGUAUAGAGGAGACAAGAACAUGAAUGGAGACAGAUGUGUUUAUUAUUCAUUAUUUAAAUACUAUUAUAUCUAGCUUGCUAUGAAACACCAGUUAUUUACCUACUCCUGUAACAAGCACCCAUGAAUGCGGUGGAGUAGAUGAAGCAGCAAUAGCUUGGGCAAGAAUUCUGGUCGUGUUUACUCGGCUCGAGACCAGAUCUUUUUUGUAACUUUCAUUCCACCUAGAGAAAACAUUUAAAUUAUAUUAACAUAACCAUAUUAAAAAUAAGAACUCAUUAUUUUGAUGCAAUUACUUAUUUACAUGUCUAUAAACAAAAUCCUUACCAUCUUAAAGGAUUCAUAAUACUUUCCCCUGCUAGAUUCACAGCACCCUCACAUGGCGGGAGGCCUCCUGACUCUACAUCAGCCUGUUAGGACAGUUAAACCUCAGUCAAACUUUCCAAAAUGCAACAUUUACAUUUAACUUUACAAAUAAGGGGUAUUUUAACAUUACACAUGAAUGACCCCAGAUCUGGGCAUUAUUAUAAGUUACUUAUUAUUACAAGUCAUUAUUAUUGUUUUAAUACUGAAUAACAUUGUAAUCAGGUUAAUAUCAAGGUAUUACUUCGGCUUGAAAUCAAAAGUAAAAGUAAAAGUCGACUUUAGUGCAUAUCUUAAAUAUAAGUUAAACCAUACCCAUGUUAUUUUUCCUGGUCCAGGCUGCCUGGAUAUAAGUGUGAUUUCAUGACCUUUGCUUUUCAACAACCUUGUCAGCUCACGACCCACAAAUCCUGAUCCUCCGCCUGAUGAGAGUGAAAAGGUGGGGAAAAAAGGUUGGGGGAAAGCAAAAUUAUCUUACUGCAUUUACAGUAUAGCAACUAGAAUAUGGAGUUUAGAUUUCUUUUCCCAUAAUGUCCAGGAAUUUGAAUCAAAUCAUGACAUUAUUUUACGUAAUGACAUUUUUACAUAAUUAUUGUGUUUUGCAACCAUCCCGCGCACGUGUAGACGCGCAUGCGCUGUUAAAGCACUUACGAAACAUCACCUCAAGCAAAAUUAAAUUCUCGUUUAUACUAUAACCAACUGAUAAAUGAAGCCAGUCAUGCAAUAAGAACAAGAUACCAUGCGUUCAAAGAAACGGACAGGAUAUUUUAAUACAUUUACUACGUAUUUGAAUAUAACAGAGCUAUGUUUAUAUCACAACAGGCUGUAAGUGUUACACACUAGCACUCAAAAUACGCUAUUUUGUUACGCUAACACGCAGUGACAAUGGGAAAAUGAAUAUAAGUGUUAUACCUAUUACAACUCUCAUUGUGCUUCUAAAGUACAGUCCGUUUAUCCUGAUAACUUGCAGAAAUCCACUUCUUUUUCACCUCUCUGCCUUCGAAGGUUAAACCAAUGAGAACGUCGUAUGUUUACCGUGUGAUCGACACAAACUGGACCGUAACCGCAGCCAUGUUGAUAAGGGCAGCAGGUUACCCUAUCACAACUCUGAACUAUCAGCAUUAUUGUACUUAAAUGUUUACAUGUACCAGUGCUAUUACGUAGCAAUUAGUAAUAUGAUACUACAAAUAUGACAUGGUAAAUCAUGUCCACUCUAUAAACAUGAACUUUUUGUAAUAUUUCUCUUUUUAAGACAUCUAGUCAAAUUAAUUGGGCAUACAAUGACUAUUAAAUGCGUCAUGCUAGAUAUGCUGACAAUGAAUACAAUAUAAGAAUUAAUCAAAACUUUUCCAUACAUAAGUCACAUCAAAUCUUACUGAAUUUAAUGAGUUCACUUUGAUCCAGUUAAUAAUCAUUUGUGGGGGUGGGGGUGCCGCAACCGGAAGCGCUUGUUUCCUGUAGAAACACGUGGUUGAUUAGGAGAUAAAUACGACCUCUUGCCAGCGUAACGUCCUUUCUGCUGGCGACGGUCAGUGAAGGUGUAACAUCUGUGUGUCUCUUAUUAGUCGAAAUUUUUGUAGUUUGAAUGCUCUUGUUUAUUUUUUUAGUACUUCGAAACUAAUUUAGUUUCUUAUGUAUAUCGGUUCAGCCUACAUGUGUUGUAAAUUGAAGCAUUUAGCCUGCCUCCGUUUUUUUUUUUUUUACUGUAAAAUAUAAAUAGUCAAAAGAGGUGUUUUCCCAAUCAUAUCGAUGUGACGGACCCAUUGGAUUGUACUCCGAACCCGCGUUUAUGGACAUGAGGGACCCGCGUGUAUGAAUAUGAGGUACCUUAGCGACUGAAAGCGGUUGAAGUGUUGAAUAAGGCAUUUGCUUCAUGUGACCAGACUUCCUUCAAAGGAUUUGAAUGAAUUCCACAUCUUGGAAUUUUUUUUUUAAAACCAUUUUUACAAUUAUUUUGUAGAAAAGCUAGUAUGUAUAUAAUUGUAAGCUGUAGUAUGUCUGCGUGCUUGCUAUCCUUGGAACUCUGAAAAAUGCCAGCAGUGUAUAUGCUGUCAGUGAUUUAGUGAUUUGAAACCACUACAAUAAAAACCGAUUUUAAAAUA